AAGGCCAGUACACAAAGGUUCCUGGGAGCCAAAAGAGUAAGUCAGGGAAGUAGCUUUGGUUGGGUUUCGUGGUACACAAAGCACAAGGCCUGGGUUGGGUUCGGAGGAAAUGAGGCUUGCGGCGGGGCGGGACUGAAGGUAUGGCAGCGCCCUGAACAUAAACAAAGCUGGUACAUAAACGCCUACGUCACAAUCUGGAGUCAGCUGGAGUGUCCCAUCAGGAUGUCUUGACUUCCUUAGAUGCAAGUCAGGCCUUCAUCUUUUCUCACCUGGACAAAGCUCCUGCCUUGCUGUCCUGCCUCCAGUCUCACCCUCUUCAAACCUGCUCUCCACCCGGUGCCAUGAUACAGCUAAAGAUCAUGUUCAUCAAUAACUUUGCAGUGGCUGCCCCUAACUACAGGACACAGCAGAGCAAACAUGGCAGCAUAUAUCUGAGCUUUGCCUUCUGUAUUGGUGAUGUAUUGCUGAAACAUAUUGUAAAAUGUAUUAACACCGUCACAAGAAACAUUCAUUAUUUCACAGUGUCUGUAGGUCAGGAAUUAAAAGGGGGUGGUUCUAGUUCAGGGUUUCUCAUAAGGUUUUAGUCCAGAUGUCAGCCAGAUCUGUAGUCAAAUGUAGGCUUGACUAGGGCUGGAGAAUAUGCUCCCAUAGCUCACUGACAGCUGGCAAGGUGGUACUGGCUGUUGGCAAAAUGCCCCAAAUUUUUAUCCCAGAGAUCUCUCCAUAGGGUUGCGUACAUGUUCUUAAAAUAUAGUGGCUGGCUUCGUCCAGUGUGGGUGAAACAGAUGAAAUCCAUGUGUUUUGUGACCUAGUCUCAGAAGUCACACACCAUCACUUCUACCGUAUUCUGUUGGUCACACAGGCCACCCCUGAGGCAGUGUGGGAAGGAUCUACGCAGGACGUGAAUAUACCAGAAGUGAGGAUCAUUGUAAGUCAUGUUGGAGGCUGGUCACCAUCCCCUUCUCUCUAAACCUAACAUUAUCACUCUCAUAUUUCAUGUUCCACCAGCACCAAAGGAUUUCAGAUUCCCAGAAUCUAUAGGGCUAUGUCUUCCAUCUUUGUGUUCCUCAUGCCUGCAAGAUCUUUUCCUCACUUCUAUUUGCCUGGUGAAUUCUUAUUCAAAACUAUGUGCCUAUACUUAGUGCCUGGUACAGAAUGGGAGCUCAGUACACAUUAAGCUGAAAUCCAAAGAAUAGAAUUAGAAGAUUUACAGUCCAGGUAGGCUCCAGGCUGUCAUCCCACAUUACCUUGAAAUAUGCUGAAGGUCAGAAAAGUCAGAGUUUGUGACUUACCUGGGCCAUUUUGAAAAAGGGUAUCUGUAUUUUUUCUAAGAAGCCACAGAAUAAUUUAGUUGGAGAUAAACUUCCUCCAGAUUUAUAAAAAUCAAUGCCAAA